rnacentral:lncRNA from 1 species
AUUUGUCAUGAAAUCUUUUUUUUUUUCCUUUUAGAAGUCCAUUUUAGAAAACACUGGUCAGGAAAGUACAUUAUCCUCAAAGAGAUGGUGACAUCAUAGGAAAGCAAGCUAAAAUGGACUUUUGCGUAGAAAUUAAAUUGUUUUAGUUUUGAGUUCUUAAAUUGGAUUGAUUUAAGAAGGAUACAACCAUUUCUCAGGCCUGUGUAGAAAAGUUAAGUUUGGUGCAGGUGGAAGGCUUAACCAUACAAACAGCAAGACCAGGUCAAAGGUCUUCCCAAGAAAGAGGCUUCCUCACUCUGCCUGAUGAAACCCUCUGUGUCUGUCAGUACCGUCAAAGCACAGAGAAGCGCACAGCCCCACACAGGCCCCUGGUUCUUCCUAUCAGCUCUGUGAUUAGAGACCAGAUCACCAAAUUACAGGCAGAUGACCUCAGUUGCUGACUGAAUCUGUCGGGGCUCACUGUUUAGUGUUUUUGAACCCUUUCGUGAAAGACCAGAGUCUCCUUCCUUCCCUUCCUGUCUGGUUUGCAUCACUGACAAAUUCCAUUUCUCCUCUCUUGAAAAAGACAUUCUUCUUUGGCCCGCUCCCUGUGAGAGAACACAAACCACUCCAAGAUGAGCUGGAAUGCAGCCUUCAUCAUAGGACGAUGAUCUUUUCCAACUGUAUUCAAGUCUGGAGUUCUUCGGGUAAAAAUUAAUCUUCCUGUGGACUCCAGAGGGCCCAUGGGAUUUUCCUUUUGGAUUAGUUGGAUGGUAGCAAGAGGUGUCCUUUGAUCUUUAAGAACAGCUGCAAAAAGGAAAAAAGAAAGAAGAAAAAGUCAAGAUUGGCCACACUUAGGGCUUUGGUGGAAUUACAGGAGAAGAGACCAAGGUGACUUUUCAAUCAGCUCAUCCUUUAAGGGAAGGCUCUGCAAAUGUUCAUCGAGAAAGACCAGUGGAACUGAGAAGACCCUCAAGUAAGCAAUGGGCACAGCAUACCUCAGUCAGACUGUGCUCUUGGGAUUUCGUCUUACUGGUGCAGAUGUGACUCUCAAGCAGUGGGUGGGAUGCCUAUGCCUACCAGGAUUUCCCAGACAGAGUGUUUAACACCUAGAGAGAGCCUAUUUCUACGCUGGGUGAAAAGGCCCAUUUCAGCUCACAGUCCAAGAUGAGAGUCACUUUUUCUGCUCAAGAGAAUAUAGUUCAAGAUUUCUCUCCUGCUACCACAGCAUGGACAGAAAAUGGAACUGCCCAACCAGAGGGAAAGGAGAUCCUAUCAAAGAAAAAGGAGGCCAGAGCUGGCCUUCAGAUAUACACAAUGGAAUACUACUCAGCCAUAAAAAAGAAUGACAUAAUGCCAUUUGCAGCAACAUGGAUGGAACUAGAGAAUCUCAUCCUGAGUGAAAUGAGCCAGUAAGACAAAGACAAAUACCAUAUGAUAUCACUUAUAACUGGAAUCUAAUAUCCAGCACAAAUGAACAUAUCCCCAGAAUAUUUCUUAUUCUAGUUUCUUCCAACCUACAGGAUGACAGUAUUAUGAUCAGUACAGCUGAAAUACUGAGAGUAAUCUUUCUUUGUUAGGUAUGGUUACAAUUCCAGUAAGUAGGGUGACAUUCAGAAUGUUUGCCAGCUAGUCAGCCUGGGGCCCUGGAUCAGGGAUCUGAAAUUCUUUGGCUGUUGAAUGGGAAGGAGCUGGGGGUGGGUGGUUCCUAAAGACAGAGCUGAAACUUCAGGGAGCAAAGGGUGAUGGGAGGGUAUUUAUUUCAUUGACUUCUCAAAGGGAACACAAGCCUAAGACUGAUUAAGAGGAAGCUGACUACAUCAGAGUUUAAAACUCUGUGCAUCAAAGGACACAAUCAACAGAGUACAAAGCAACUUAUGCAAUGGUAGAAAAUAUUUGCAAAUAAUAUGUUUCAUAAGAGAUUAAUGUCCAGAAUAUAUAAAGAGCUCCUAUAACUCAACAACAACAACUACAACAAAACAAUUAAAAAUGAGCAAAGGGCUUAAGCAGUAAAUUUCUUUGAAGAAGAUAUACAGAUGGCCAAAAACAUGUGAAAAGAGCUCAACACCACUAAUUAUCAGGGUAAAGCAAAUCAAAACCAUGAGAUACCAUUUCACCCCCUUUAGGGGGGUUACUAUAAAGAGAAAAAAGAAAAAAAAAAA